rnacentral:rRNA from 1 species
GAUCAUGGCUCAGGACGAACGCUGGCGGCGCGCCUAACACAUGCAAGUCGAACGAGAGAUGAGGAGCUUGCUCUUCAAAUCGAGUGGCGAACGGGUGAGUAACGCGUGAGGAACCUGCCUCAAAGAGGGGGGACAACAGUUGGAAACGACUGCUAAUACCGCAUAAGCCCACGGCUCGGCAUCGAGCAGAGGGAAAAGGGAAGGCAAUCCGCUUUGUAGAUGGCCGUCCGCGGUCCCGGACUUAG